CGCAAGCCUGACGGAGCAAGACCGCGUGAGGGAGGAAGGCCCAAGCGGUUGUAAACCUCUUUUCUCAGGGAAGAAGAAAGUGACGGUACCUGAGGAAUCAGCCUCGGCUAACUCCGUGCCAGCAGCCGCGGUAAUACGGAGGAGGCAAGCGUUAUCCGGAAUUAUUGGGCGUAAAGCGUCCGUAGGUGGUUAUGUAAGUCUGCUGUCAAAGCACAGGGCUUAACCCUGUAAAGGCAGUGGAAACUACAAGACUCGAGUGCGGUAGGGGCAGAGGGAAUUCCCAGUGUAGCGGUGAAAUGCGUAGAGAUUGGGAAGAACACCUGUGGCGAAAGCGCUCUGCUGGACCGCAACUGACACUCAGGGACGAAAGCUAGGGGAGCG
rnacentral:rRNA from 1 species